rnacentral:rRNA from 1 species
UACGAAGGGGGCUAGCGUUGCUCGGAAUUACUGGGCGUAAAGGGCGCGUAGGCGGAUAUUUAAGUCGGGGGUGAAAGCCCAGGGCUCAACCCUGGAACAGCCUUCGAUACUGGAUAUCUUGAGUACGGGAGAGGUGAGUGGAACUCCGAGUGUAGAGGUGAAAUUCGUAGAUAUUCGGAAGAACACCAGUGGCGAAGGCGACUCACUGGCCCGUUACUGACGCUGAGGCGCGAAAGCCAGGGGAGCAAACGGG